GACGAACGCUGGCGGCGUGCUUAACACAUGCAAGUCGAACGGAAAGGCCCUGCUUUUGUGGGGUGCUCGAGUGGCGAACGGGUGAGUAACACGUGAGUAACCUGCCCUUGACUUUGGGAUAACUUCAGGAAACUGUGGCUAAUACCGGAUAGGAGCUCCUGCUGCAUGGUGGGGGUUGGAAAGUUUCGGCGGUUGGGGAUGGACUCGCGGCUUAUCAGCUUGUUGGUGGGGUAGUGGCUUACCAAGGCUUUGACGGGUAGCCGGCCUGAGAGGGUGACCGGCCAAAUUGGGACUGAGAUACGGCCCAGACUCCUACGGGAGGCAGCAGUGGGGAAUAUUGCACAAUGGGCGGAAGCCUGAUGCAGCAACGCCGCGUGCGGGAUGACGGCCUUCGGGUUGUAAACCGCUUUCGCCUGUGACGAAGCGUGAGUGACGGUAAUGGGUAAAGAAGCACCGGCUAACUACGUG
rnacentral:rRNA from 1 species